GAUGAACGCUGGCGGCGUGCCUAACACAUGCAAGUCGAGCGGCAGCGAGGGGUGCUUGCGCCCUGUCGGCGAGCGGCGGACGGCUGAGUAACGCGUGGGAACGUGCCCCAAAGUUAGGAAUAACUGCCCGAAAGGGUAGCUAAUCCCGCAUGUUAUCUUCGGAUCAAAGGAUUUAUCCGCGUGGGGAGCGGGUCGGGUCGGAUUAGGUAGUUGGUGAGGUUAUGGCUCACCAAGCCGACGAUCCGUAGCUGGUCUGGGAGGAUGACCAGCCAGACUGGAAAUGAGACACGGUCCAGACUCCGACGGGAGGGAGCAGUGAGGAAUAUUCCACAAUGGGCGAAAGCCUGAUGGAGCAACGCCGCGUGCAGGACGAAGGGCUUUGGGUUGUAAACUGCUUUUAUAAGUGAGGAAUAUGACGGUAACUUAUGAAUAAGGAUCGGCUAACUACGUG
rnacentral:rRNA from 1 species